rnacentral:lncRNA from 1 species
GUCGCUGCCAGGUCCGCCUGCACGGGAGGGAGUCAGUAGAGCUGGAGCGGCCGAAGCGCCCGCGGAGUGCGGUCCAGCUGCCGCCCCCGCCGGCUUGCAGCUUCCCAGCUUCGGUCCAAUGCCGGCCGAACUCAGACAGGAACAGAGCCCGGGUAGCCAGGCAUCGCUGGCCACGAUGCCAGAGGCACCUGAGGUGCUGGAGGAGACAGUGACUGUGGAGGAAGACCCUGGCACCCCCACCUCUCAUGUAUCCAUUGUCACAUCAGAAGACGGUACAACCCGGCGGACUGAGACUAAGGUCACUAAGACAGUCAAGACUGUGACCACAAGGACAGUCCGCCAGGUGCCUUUGGGUCCAGAUGGACUCCCCUUGCUAGAUGGCGGCCCUCCUCUUGGCUCUUUUGCUGAUGGGCCCCUGGACCGGCACUACGUCCUGCGUGGUGGUGGCCCAGCAGCCACACUCUCCCGAGCCUACCUCAGCAGUGGAGGUGGCUUUCCCGAUGGCCCCGAGCCCCGUGAUAUUCCAAGCUACGGCAGCUUGUCCCGAGGGCUUGGGGUACGGCCACCACGUACUGGCCUCUUGGGCCCGGGACCUGGUGAUGGCUGUUUCACACUCCCUGGCCGCCGAGAAGCCUUCCCCAUGGGCUCAGAAUCUGGACCACCAAGUGGCCGCUCUCUGCCUGAGCAUUUCCAAGCAGAGCCAUAUGGCCUGGAGGAUGACACUCGGAGCCUGGCUGCAGAUGAUGAGGGCGGCCCCGACCUGGAGCCUGACUACAGCACAGCCACACGGAGAA